UGCAGAAUCCCGUGAACCAUCGAAUUUUUGAACGCAAGUUGCGCCCGAAGCCUUUUGGCUAAGGGCACGUCUGCUUGGGCGUCACAU
rnacentral:rRNA from 1 species